GAUGAACGCUGGCGGCGUGCCUAAUACAUGCAAGUCGAGCGAACAGACGAGGAGCUUGCUCCUCUGACGUUAGCGGCGGACGGGUGAGUAACACGUGGAUAACCUACCUAUAAGACUGGGAUAACUUCGGGAAACCGGAGCUAAUACCGGAUAAUAUAUUGAACCGCAUGGUUCAAUAGUGAAAGACGGUUUUGCUGUCACUUAUAGAUGGAUCCGCGCCGCAUUAGCUAGUUGGUAAGGUAACGGCUUACCAAGGCAACGAUGCGUAGCCGACCUGAGAGGGUGAUCGGCCACACUGGAACUGAGACACGGUCCAGACUCCUACGGGAGGCAGAAGUAGGGAAUCUUCCGCAAUGGGCGAAAGCAUGACGGAGCAACGCCGCGUGAAUGAUGAAGGUCUUCGGAUCGUAAAACUCUGUUAUUAGGGAAGAACAAAUGUGUAAGUAACUAUGCACGUCUUGACGGUACCUAAUCAGAAAGCCACGGCUAACUACGUG
rnacentral:rRNA from 1 species